UGUCCCUGAUUGCUCAUAACAUUAUUUGAAAUCAAGCAAAUAUUCUUCAUUUUCUUUCAUGAUUCUUAACACACGAUUUCUUUAAAUUUACAAUCCUUGUACUUGAACAAUUGAACUAGAUGUAUCCAAUAUCUGAAUUAGUUAACAUCACAGAUUUACACAGAUUCUUGUUCACACGGUAAUUGGGUUGAACCUUGUACAUGGUAGGUUGUAUGGGCUUUACGGAAUGUUGCAGGUGAUUCCCCUAAAUGUCGUGACUUUGUACUUGCACAAGGUGCUUUGAUUCCUUUGCUAUUCCAAUUAAAUGAGCAUGCAAAGUUAUCUAUCUUGAGAAAUGCCACAUGGAAGCUUCCAAAUUUUUGUAGAGGAAAACCACAACCUUCUUUCAGUCAGAUGGCACAAAUGAUAAAAUCCAAGUUGUGAUUGAAGCAAAUGUAUGUCCCAGAUUGUUACAGGAGAUGAUAUGCAAACUCAGUAUAUAAUCAAUCAUCAUGCAUUGCCUUGUCUUCUGAACUUGUCGACCAAUAAUCACAAAACAAAGUAUUAAGAAAGAAGCUUGUUGGACUAUAUCAAACAUCAUUGCAGGCACGAAGAUCAAAUUCAGGUAAUGAUUUAUAAAUUUUACAAAAACCAUUACUAAUGGUUUGACUUUGGUUUGACCUGAAAACUGAAAAAACCGGACAGUGAACACCCCUAGUCUGUGAAGCUUGUAUGUGCGACAACAGAGGCGAAUAGGAGGCUAUGAUCGGAAGGAAGUAUUAACAGGCUGCAAAAAAACAUGAAUAUGGAAGCAGCGAUCAAAGUAAUUUGCUGUGAAAGUGUGUUGUAUUGGAAUUUAGAAUUAAGGACACUAUUGUCCUUUUACAAUGUUUUUUUUAAUUAUAAUGAUUUAAGAUUAUGAAAAAAAAAUAUAUAUCAACAAAAAUA